CUGAGGAGCUCUCAAAGCGCAAGAGUAGAGCGCCAAGAGUAACCUGCUGAGCUGAAAAGGAAAAGGAGGAUACCGAACAGCAAGGACUUCUCUCUGGAGAGCAGCUAAGUUCUAAAUCAAUCCAAUGGUGUUCUUGAAAUAUCAGUGAAUGUUUCCAAGCAUUAUAUUAAAAUUUCAUGAUCAGUAGUGCUGAAAGCUGCC
rnacentral:lncRNA from 1 species